rnacentral:rRNA from 1 species
AGAGUUUGAUCAUGGCUCAGGACGAACGCUGACGGUGUGCUUUAGGCAUGCAAGUCGAACGAGAAAGCCCUUCGGGGUGAGUAAAGUGGCGAACGGGUGAGUAACACGUGGGCAACCUGCCCCUCGCAGGGGGACAACCGGAGGAAACUCCGGCUAAUACCCCGUAAGCUCUACACGCCGCAUGGCGAGUAGAGGAAAGGUAGCUUCGGCCAUCCGGCGAGGGAUGGGCCCGCGGUGCAUUACGCUAGUUGGUGGGGUAACGGCCCACCAAGGCGACGAUGCGUAGCUGGUCUGAGAGGAUGAUCAGCCACACUGGGACUGAGACACGGCCCAGACUCCUACGGGAGGCAGCAGCCAGGAAUCUUGGGCAAUGGGCGAAAGCCUGACCCAGCAACACCGUGUGGGCGAUGAAGGCCUUCGGGUCGUAAAGCCCUGUUGAUAGGGACGAAGGGCGAAGGGUUAAUAGCCCCUAGCUUGACGGUACCUUUCGAGGAAGCCCCGGCUAACUACGUGCCAGCAGCCGCGGUAAUACGUAGGGGGCGAGCGUUGUCCGGAAUUAUUGGGCGUAAAGAGCGUGUAGGCGGUUCGGUAAGUCUGUCGUGAAAUCCUGGGGCUCAACCCUGGGCGUGCGAUGGAUACUGCCGGGCUAGAGGGUGGUAGAGGCGAGUGGAAUUCCCGGUGUAGCGGUGAAAUGCGCAGAUAUCGGGAGGAACACCAGUAGCGAAGGCGGCUCGCUGGGCCACACCUGACGCUGAGACGCGAAAGCUAGGGGAGCGAACAGGAUUAGAUACCCCGGUAGUCC